UGAUAGGUGGUGCAUGGCCGUUCUUAGUUCGUGGAGUGAUCUGUCUGCUUAAUUGCGUUUCAAAAUUUAAACCUGAGCGACAAGGUGCUGCUAUCGAAACUGUCUUUGAGUGUGAACUAUAAGUCUUUUGACUUAUGACCAUCACUCUAGACGUUUAUGUUUUGGUGUUGGCCCUUGAUGCUCAUUUGAACGCAACGGACGUGAUUGCAACCCCUUGUUGAGAUUUAUCCGAUCUCUACGUUCACUGAACCACACUCUUUAGCGAGAGCAGUGGGGAUGUGGAUAAACUCGGGGGACUGCUGACUAUAAACUU
rnacentral:rRNA from 1 species